rnacentral:rRNA from 1 species
GACGAACGCUGGCGGCGUGCUUAACACAUGCAAGUCGAACGGAAAGGCCCUGCUUUUGUGGGGUGCUCGAGUGGCGAACGGGUGAGUAACACGUGAGUAACCUGCCCUUGACUUUGGGAUAACUUCAGGAAACUGGGGCUAAUACCGGAUAGGAGCUCCUGCUGCAUGGUGGGGGUUGGAAAGUUUCGGCGGUUGGGGAUGGACUCGCGGCUUAUAAGCUUGUUGGUGGGGUAGUGGCUUACCAAGGCUUUGACGGGUAGCCGGCCUGAGAGGGUGACCGGCCACAUUGGGACUGAGAUACGGCCCAGACUCCUACGGGAGGCAGCAGUGGGGAAUAUUGCACAAUGGGCGGAAGCCUGAUGCAGCAACGCCGCGUGCGUGAUGACGGCCUUCGGGUUGUAAACCGCUUUCGCCUGUGACGAAGCGUGAGUGACGGUAAUGGGUAAAGAAGCACCGGCUAACUACGUG